GGCGAGGUAGCUCAGGUGGUUAGAGCGACGGUCUCAUAAUCCGUAGGUCGAGGGUUCGAGUCCCUCCUUCGCCACCA
rnacentral:tRNA from 1 species